UUUAAAUUUAAGUUUGCCCAGAACAGUUGAUUAAACAGACAAACAAACCUUGAGGACAAACAACGGACCAUCGCAAUGCCAGGACAUUGCAUGAUGUCACAGAUCACAAAAUAAGGCCACAUCUGUUCGACGGUCAUUGGGGCGGAUAAGUUAAUGAAUGUGGGAAUGUAAUGAAUACGUAAUACAUGUGAAAAUAUAACCCAUUUAGGAACAACUGACCGGCGGAGCGUUCUCAGAGUUAUCUCGACGGUGCCCCGGCCUCGCCAAUGAAGAAUACCUCACUUAAAGGUGCAGCAGAACAGAAUUUCAGGGAGGUGCUGUGAUGAACGCCAUCUAUUCAGCUGGACGGGAAGCACACUAUUAUGUAUGGAUGACGUGACAGUAAGAAAUCUCACAAAAUUACCUCCCUUAAAAUAACAGUCACGCUUGAUCCCUCGUAGCUCGCUAGAAAGCCAUCUCAAGCCUCGGGAGAUCACGAGCCAGUUUUACAGUCGGCACGCUCUCUGUCCUUCCCACACCUUUCCAGAUCAGACAGGCCCACAUAACCAUUGCGUACGAACAACUACACAACGCUCAGUCAGAGUGGGAAAUACCACGAUAUUGGUAAGAUUCAAAGCUGUACAAGAACAACAUGUCAGUGCAACAGUAUAAUAGACAAGGACUUAUGAUUUUAUUGUACAAUUGAUUUUGGCAGGAUUUCAGAAGCUGUAUACAGUACAACAAAGAUAAUUACAAAAACGUGUUUGACAAUUAUUUGUUUUGUUUUAAAAUCCUUUAGCUGCCUGCUGCAUACCUACUGUACAACUACAUUAAUUUACAUUUCAGUAGCAGGCAAUGCCGAGCGUAUCCAUCACCAUCACAAUUGCUUGGAGAGGAUCCACAAUUUCUUGCGUGUUAUCUUUUCUCAAAACCCAGUCCGGUUUAAUUCUGUGGCAAUAAGAGUGGUUCAUCAUUAAAAUAGUAUAUUGUCACUGUAAAAACUGCAGACUAAUUUUUAGGUACAUACCUCGAAACUGUCUUUAUU
rnacentral:lncRNA from 1 species